rnacentral:lncRNA from 1 species
GCCUGAUCUUGGCUCAUUACAACUUCUGCCUCCUGGGCUCAAGUGAUCCAUCUGCCUCAGCCUCCGGAGUAGCUGGGAUUACAGGUGUGCGCCGCCACACCCAGCUAAUUGUAUUUUUAGUAGAGACGGGCUUCACCAUGUUGCCCAGGCUAGUCUUGAACUCCUGACCUCAAAUGAUCCACCCACCUCAACCUCCUAAAGUGCUGGGAUUAUAGGCAUGAGCCACCAUGCCAGGCCCUUGUUAUGCAUUUUUAACCCUACUUCACUAGUAAGCCCAACUACAUAAAGAUGUAUGCUUGGAUUAUACUUAAUAUGGGUAACUCAGAAGAUGCAGCUGGUUUUUUUGUUUUGUUUUUGUGUUGAGAUGGAGUCUCGCUCUGUUGCCCAGGCUGGAGUGCAAUGGCACCAUCUCAGCUCACUGCAACCUCUGGCUCCUGGGUUCAAGCAAUUCUCCCACCUCAGCCUCCCGAGUAGCUGGGAUUACAGGCACCGGCCAUCUUGCCUGGCUGAUUUUUGUAUUGUUGUAGAGACGGGGUUUCACCAUGUUGCCAUGUUGGCCAGGCUUGUCUUGAGCUCCUGACCUCAGGUGAUCUGCCCGCCUUGGCCUCCCGAAGUGCUGGGAUUACAGGCGUGAGCCACCGUGCCCAACCUAUACAGCUGUUUUUAAUAAACUAACAAUAUCAGACUAAUCUUGUCAGAGUUACUCAAGUCACAAGAACUUGAAAAGAAUGUUUGGCUUAGUUUCUAUAUUUCUGAGAGCUUUAGAAAUGUUUUAUAUAAAUGCUCAUGUAUCUCUAAGCCAAUUUGAAUAGAACUCCUUUAAGGGAUUUUAUAAAUUAACUUGGUAAUACCAUCAGAGGGAGAAUAAUUUCACGUAUACAUAACAUACAUGCGUAGACAUAACAUAGAUCUGCAAAGAAAAAAAGAAUUUUUUUUUAAGACAGGGUCUCCUUCUCCUUGACCUCUGGGCUCAAGCAAUCCUCCCACCUCAGCCUCCCAAGUAGCUGAGGCAUGCACUACCACACCCAGCUAAUUUUUAAAUAUUUUUUUGUAAAGACAGGGUCUCACCAUGUUGCCCAGGCUGGUUUCAAACUCCUGGGCUCAAGUGAUCUCCCCACCUCAGCCUCCCAAAGUGCUGGGAUGACAGGCAUGAGCCACUAUGCCUGGCCACAAACCAAGAUCUUAUAACUUUCAUACAUAGUUUCAUACAAGUUAAGAUUACCUGUUGAGGGUGAAAGUUGUUAUCAGUAUUUCAGGAGAAGGCCCUAAAGAUUUUUUUCUUUGGCCAGUUUGUUUCCAAAUAGUCCUUUUAACCUUGUUUUUUGUUUUGUUUUGUUUUGUUGUUUUUAACCAAAGGUGUACCUAAUCCAAUGUAACUCGAAACCCAUAAGACUUUUUGUGGCCAUGGAUACAAGAGAUGUUCUCAGAGUCCCCCAGGAUCCAAAGUUACCCCACAGAUAGCCAAAAGAAAGACAAGCGCCCUCAGAGCUGGUGAUGGCUGGUAGGAUGUCAGCUGUCGCCGAGUCUGUGUUGCUAUGAAGAAAUACCUGAGGCUGGGUAAUUUAUAAAGAAGUUUAAUUGGCUCAUGUUUCUGUAGGCUUUAUAGGAAGCACGGUGUUGGCAUCUGCUUGGCUUCCAGGGAGGCCUCAGGAAGCUUUCAAUUAUGACGGAGGGCAAAGGAGGAGCAGGUGUCUCACGCAGUGCGAGUGGGAGCAAGAUGGGGUGAGGUCAUGCCACACACUUAACCAGAUCUCUUGAGAAAUCACUCACUCUCAUGAGAACAGCACCAAAGAGAUGGUGCUAACCAUUUAUGAGAAAUCUGUCCCCAUGAUUUAAUCACCCGUCACCCAUCCCCACCUCCCACAUUGGGGAUUACAUUUCAAUGUGAGGUUUACAGGCAACAUCAUCCAACAUAUCAGAGUGCAGCUCACAUUACUGUCUGGCCAGCUAUAAAUUCCCUUUUUUUUUUUUUUUUUUUUUUUUUUUUUUUUUUUGAGACAAAGUCUCACUCUGUUGCCCAGGCCAGAGUGCAGUGGCUGAGAUUCUCUACUCACUACAACCUCUGCCUCCCGGGUUCAAGUGAUUGUCCUGCCUCAGGCUCCCAAGUAUCUGGGAUUACAGGCACCCGCCACCACGCCUGGCUAAUUUUUGUAUUUUUAGUAGAGACGGGGUUUCACCGUGUUGGCCAGGCUGGUCUUGAACUCCUGAUCUCAGGUGAUCCAUCCGUCUCGGCCUUCCAAAGUGCUGGGAUUAAAGGCGUGAGCCACCGCGCCCGGCCUGUAAAUUCUUGGGGCUACAUCCUGACCAUUGGCUGUUCCCCCAGGCAUUUGGAAGCCAAACUGGCCAUAAAGGCAAGUUCUCAGGACACAAAACAAGACGAAAGGAGAAUCGUAUCCCAUGAUUCUCCUCUUCACAACAAAGGACCCAAGAGACAGAGACAAAGGCAAACAGUGACUCUUCCUGGGAGGCUGAAGAUCACCGAGGACUCCUCGAGAUCAGAUGCGCUGAAGUCAAAACCAAAGAACCCAUUCUUCCGAAUGUGGCUCUGCUGGUCCAAAUUCAGAAAGGAAGAAAACAAAGAGACUUUGACCACCCUCACACAGUCGCGCUGCAGACAGAAAUCUGGGAGGCUGACUUGAGUAAGAAUUCUUUUUUUUUUUUUGAGACGGAGUUUUGCUCUUGUCGCAAAGGCUGGAGUGCAAUGGUGCAAUCUCGGCUCACUGCAACCUCUGCCUCCCGGGUUCAAAUGACUCUGUUGCCUCAGCCUCCCAAGUAGCUGGGAUUACAGGUGCCCACCACCACACCCGGCUAAUUUUGUAUUUUUAGUAGAGAUGGGGUUUCUGCAUGUUGGUCAGGCUGGUCUCAAACUCCUGACCUCAGGUGAUUCACCCACCUCGGCCUCUGAAAGUGCUGGUAUUAUAGGUGUGAGCCACCACGACCAGUCUUGAGUAAGAAUUCUUUCUUUUGGCCGGCUCUACCAGGGGUCCUGGCUCUCUGUGCAGCUCCCAGACCAAGUGAGGUGUUCCAGCCAAGGGUACCUCAUCCCCAUGACUAGAAACUGCAGGGAGGGUCAAAAUCUUUUCCUUCUCCCCAUCUUAGGUUCCUUGGUGGGGGCCCUGUUGCUUGGACUAACAAAAGACAGAUUCACAAGAGAAAAACAUACCAGUUUAUUUACUAGAAGUUGCACAUGACAUGGGUACCUUCGUAAGGAAACGAAGGCCCAGAGAUCCAGUCCACUGAGUGUGCUGAUGCCAGGUUGGAAGAAGAGUGGAGAGGCGUGGGAAGUGCGACGGACAGGGGAGUGAGCCUGGGGCAGGAAACUAGGGGGACAUGCCAUCUUCAGAGAUGAGUUUGCCCCUUCCCUCUGGGUAUAGGGAAGGCGCCUCUCAUAGGAUGAUCUCAUGGCCUGCUCCAGAGGAGAAAGGGGAGGUCAGAGAGUCCUCGAGGCCCAGCCUCCCACAUGCAAGCUGUGUGACCUCGGGCUAGUCACCUAACCUCUCAGAGCUCUCUUUCCUCCUCUCUCUACACUGGGGUGGUUGAAAUGCUUGACCUCUUGCUCCCUCAUAGGGAGUGCUCAGUGACAUUGGCGGUUGUGACGCUCAGCUCACCAGUCCUGCCUACUUGCCAGCAGGUAUUCUCAGAGGGACCACAGAGCUGAGGGUGACCUGCACCAGUACCCACUUGGGACCAUAAUUCGUAGAUAAGGUUCAGGCACAACACCCAGAGAAGGAAAUGGCAGCCACCUGGCUCGGUUGAAAUACUCAUUUCAAGGGAAUUCCUUGUCCAUUCAAAUGACUGAACAACAGCUUGAUUUCAUGGAAUAAUGGCUUUUAUUAAGAAGCCAACAGGAAUGAUCAUAGUGGGGAGUCUUGUGUCCUGGCAGUGGGUGUUUGUAGAGCACCCGGUGGUCACCAGCAACUCUGUGCAAGGCUCAGUGGGAGGGUGAUUGGUGUGUUGGAGGAUGUGGGUACACAGUAGCAUAGGCAUGCAUGUGGCUGAGUGCACACAUGUGCAUACAUGUUCACACAUGCACCCGCAGCGGGAACUUGGUGAAUACUUGUUGGUUGGUGGUGGUUUUUUUUUUUUUUUGAGAUGGAGUUUCACUCUUGUUGCCCAGGCUGGAGUGCAAUGGCACCAUCUCGGCUCAGUGCAGCCUCUGUCUUCUGAGUUCAAGCAAUUCUCCAGCUUCAGCCUCCCAUGUAGCUCUGGGAUUACAGGUGUGUGCCACCAUACCCGGCUUUUUUUUUUUUUUUUUUAAGUAACAGGGUUUCACCAUGUUGGGUCAGGCUGGUCUCGCACUCCUGACCUCAAGUGAUGUGCCUGCCUCGGCCUCCCAAAGUGUUGGGAUUACAGGCAUGAGCCACUGUGCCUGGCUGGUUGGUGGGUUUUGACUGGAAGGCUAUGGAGCUCCAGUGGUAGAUGUGGUUAUAAGGGUAACUGGGGGGUCUCAGAGUGGGGGCCAGUUGCAUCAGGCCCCUGGAGGGUGGGACACUGCCUUUCCAAGAGCAACAAAGUGUGGGCGAUUUGUGGUGCUGAGAAUCCUGAGCAGGCAGUUCGUCUAGAGCAGGGUUGCAAACUUUUUCUGUAAAAGGCCAGAUAGUAAAUAUGUUAGGCUUUGUGGGCCUUGUAGUCUCUGUUGCAACUACUCAGCUCUGCCCUGAUGAGGCAAAAGCAGCCACAGGCAAUGUACAAAAUGUCCGUGGCUGUGUUCCAAGAAAACGUUAUUGGCAAAAACAGGCAGUGGGCCAGAUCUAAGCCAUGGGCCGUAGUUUGCCAACCCCUGGUCUAGACCACUCCCAUUUAUAAAGUGAUUCGGCUUUAGCAGCUUCCUGGAAGGUGGUGCUGCUGGCUGAUAAAGCAGAGGGAUGGAGCUUGUAGAAUUCAGGUGAUGAUAGGGCUUGGAUCUGAGUCCCCAGCGCGUCUCAUGUUGAAUUGAAACUUUGGAGGUGGGGACUGGUGGCAGGUGAUUGGAUCAUGAGGGCAGAUACCUCAUGGGUUGGUGCUGUCCUCGAGAUAGUGAGUUCUUACCAGAUCUGGUUUAAAAGCAUGUGGCACCUCUGUCCCACUCUCUCUUGCUCCUGUUUUUGCCACGUGAUGCACCUCCUUCCUUUUUGCCUUCUGCCAUAAUUGGAAGCCUCCUGAGGCUUCUCCAGAAGCUGAACAGGUGCUGGUGCCAUGCUUGUACAGCCUGUAGAACCAUGAGCCAGUUAAACCUCUUUUCUUAUAAAUAACCCCAUCUCAGCAAGAAUAGCCAAACACACAGGUUUGCUGAGCAGAGCCAUACGGCCAGAAGAUAAGUGGGGGUCCCAAG